UACGUAGGGGGCUAGCGUUGUCCGGAUUUAUUGGGCGUAAAGAGCGUGUAGGCGGCCUGGUAGGUCUGCUGUGAAAACUCGAGGCUCAACCUCGAGAUGUCGGCGGAAACCAUCUGGCUAGAGUCCGGAAGAGGAGAGUGGAAUUCCUGGUGUAGCGGUGAAAUGCGCAGAUAUCAGGAAGAACACCUAUGGCGAAGGCAGCUCUCUGGGCCGGUACUGACGCUGAGGCGCGAAAGCGUGGGGAGCGAACAGG
rnacentral:rRNA from 1 species